GUGCAGCCUGUCCCAUGCGCUCACGCACGUCAGGAGCUGCGUAUCUCUGCUGAGAUACACGGGCUUCCUCCACCAGCCCGGCGUGGGCACAGCCCGAGCCGAAAGCCAGGCUUGUGCAAAGGCAAAGCAUUGCUCUGAUCCCGGGGGCGUUUGCUAAGUAACAGCUGGAGCCCCGGGGCUCCGAAGGAGGCAGCUCAACGACCGGGACACUGGUGCAGGUGCCGGGGACGGGCGAGGCAGGCGGGUGCUGCCAGACCGCUUUGCUGUCGCGGCACGCAGGGCACUGGGAGCUGCAGCCUUGCUGGCGCAGGGAGGGCGCGGAGGAACGGACGGACCCAAGGAUGCCAGUGCUGGGAUUCAUUAGGUCGGAGCUGCAAGGGCUCUGCGGAUGAAAGCGCGGCUCAUGAAUUAUCAUGGGGGUGCAGACAGCAGCCUGCGGACUCCUUGGGAAGCUCAACAACAGGAAUGGAGAGAAAAAUGUUUGGGUUUUUCAUCUUUCCAUUUUCCAUUUCACCUUUGGAAAAGGAAACAAAAAAGCACAGCUGAAAGAAGAGAAAGAAGAAAAUACAUUUUUUUCAGUCUCUUUAUAUCCCUA